UCGAAUCAUCAGAAUUGGUGGAAGAAAAUGGGGACAUUGUAAUGAUUAGUUCCGCAUCAGAUGAAGAAGGUAAGGUACAGUUACACCGGUGUGUACAUACUACGUUUAAGUGAAAGUCCUACCAGUACCCAAGUGUUGUGAAAAAGAAAGCAAAAAGGAAGUGAGUCAGGAGCAGCCUUUUGGAACGGUGUCUUCUAAGACUUUGCAGUGCAGAAUCCACAAGCUAAUUGAAAUAUGCAAGUGUUCACCUUGAUCAUUUGGUGGAGGUAGGCCCGCCGGCUAUUUGAAUGAUUACAUGGAGCUGAUAGCUGACCCCCAAUUCGACAUUUGGGAAGUAGACCGCAUUAUGGAUUUGGUGCCGAUCACCAUUCUGGAGACGGCAGACCGGGUCGUCAUUAAGUGGUUGGAACGGCCGCCCUCCUUCACUCGGCGGUGGGCUCAUCAAGGUGACCUGGGAGCCUUUUCGUCCCUUAGAGGCCAUAUUUGUACCGUGUGGGCCUGGCGAGUGCCCUCUCUUUACUAAUUCUAAUUGUAACACAAAAUUUACAUGUUUUUUUUGUUCUUUGUAUGAAUAAAUGGUGUUGAUAAGUUA